GGCCUCUUCUAGCCACACCUUAUUUUGUUAACUCUUGAGCUGGAGCUGCAAGGCUGUUGACUAUUAACCAUUCCUUUGGCAAACUCUGUUUUUUGACAUUAACCUAGGUCAUCAAAUUUAUAUUCAUGGGAAAUUCUAUGAAUCAGACGGAUACAUCAUGUUAUUAUAAAUUGUCAUUGUUAUUUUGUACAGUUGAAGUGUUCAUAUCUGUAUGUACUAACAAUAUGUUUAUCAUUGAGGUUGGGAUCCACUUUUUCAAAAAGUGUGCUGUUAAAAAAAGUAGUUUAAAAGUGCUAUUUAGUUCUUUGGAAGUUUUUAUGACAAAUAUGUCAAAUCUACCUUAAUGACAAUUUUUAAUGGCCUCUAAUAGACACAUUAAGGAUGGUGUUUUUUCUCAACAAAAGCUCUAACUGCAAUGCCAAACAAAAUCUAUUAUGGACUGAAAUUUUCCCUGAAAAGGAUAAUUAUUAUCAGCCAGGUUCAGCCAGCUCAAAUUCAUACAAACUCAAAUGAAUAGCCCAGUUAUAUUAAAUGUUUUUUUUUUUUAAUCUUAAUGCUAUGGCCUAUUAGAUGAUGACAAAGUUGCAAUAGUUCUUUUGUUUUUAGUCAACCCAAUCUAGUUAUGGAUUGAUUUUGGGUUAAACUUUGUUAAAGAUUAUGAUUAUUUGUGUAUCAUUUUAGCCAUCAUAUGUUCUGUGUUAGUGUUCAUCAACUUUCUGUUUCUGUAGGGCGGUUAACAUUGACUAAUAGUGCUCUCUACUUUGAGUCGUUGGGAGUUGGUCUAUAUGAUAAAGCUGUUAGAUAUGAUCUGGCAACGGAUAUGAAACAGGUCAUAAAACCAGAAUUGACUGGACCAUUGGGUGCUCGUCUCUUUGAUAAAGCUGUGAUGUAUAAAUCAGCAUCAGU
rnacentral:misc_RNA from 1 species